rnacentral:rRNA from 1 species
UUCCUCCUACGGGGGGCAGCAGUGGGGAAUAUUGGGCAAUGGGCGCAAGCCUGACCCAGCAACGCCGCGUGAAGGAAGAAGGCUUUCGGGUUGUAAACUUCUUUUCUGGGGGACGAAGAAAGUGACGGUACCCCAGGAAUAAGCCACGGCUAACUACGUGCCAGCAGCCGCGGUAAUACGUAGGUGGCAAGCGUUAUCCGGAUUUAUUGGGUGUAAAGGGCGUGUAGGCGGGAAUGCAAGUCAGAUG